rnacentral:rRNA from 1 species
GACGAACGCUGGCGGCGUGCUUAACACAUGCAAGUCGAACGGAAAGGCCCUGCUUUUGUGGGGUGCUCGAGUGGCGAACGUGUGCGUAACACGUGAGUAACCUGCCCUUGACUUUGGGAUAACUUCCGGAAACUGGGGCUAAUACCGGAUAGGAGCUCCUGCUGCAUGGUGGGGGUUGGACAGUUUCGGCGGUUGGGGAUGGACUCGCGGCUUAUCAGCUUGUUGGUGGGGUAGUGGCUUACCAAGGCUUUGACGGGUAGCCGGCAUGAGAGGGUGACCGGCCACAUGGGGACUAAGAAAUGGACGAGAAUCGAAAGAGAGGCAGAAGUGGGGAAUAUUGCACAAUGAGCGGACGCCGGAUGCAUCGACCUCGCGUGCGGGAGGACGGCCUUCUGGGUGUAAACCGCUUUCGCCUGUGACGAAGCGUGAGUGACGUUACCAGGCAUAUAGGCACCGGCUAACUACGUG